CCGAGAGGCGUUGAUGUGACCAUGAGCUCGGUCAAUGGAGGCAGCCAAAGUUGUUUGUGCUCAUACGAUCUUUGUUAGCUACAUGCGAGAUACCUUGCAAUAGAGAAUGCUAUAUAGUACCGAUAACGCGUUUCAGCCGGGUAAAACAUUAUGUUUGGUCCGUUACACACUCAAGGCCUGGGAGUUCGAGUUAUCAUACGCCGUCAUCUAAGAAUUCAAAUAUGAGAUACGCGGUACCUUUGAGAUUAAAUUUAGCCCGAGAGGCGCUGAUGUGACUUUGGCCUCGGUCAAUUGAGGCAGCCAAAGUUGUCUGUGCUCAU
rnacentral:lncRNA from 1 species